GACAGGGGGCUCGAGCGUUAAUCGGAAUCACUGGGCUUAAAGGGCGCGUAGGCGGCCUGUUAAGUCGAACGUGAAAUCCCCGGGCUCAACCCGGGAACUGCGUCCGAUACUGGCAGGCUUGAAUCCGGGAGAGGGAUGCGGAAUUCCAGGUGUAGCGGUGAAAUGCGUAGAGAUGUGGAGGAACACCGAUGGCGAAGGCAGCCCCCUGGGUCAAGAUUGACGCUCAUGCACGAAAGCGUGGGGAGCAAACAGG
rnacentral:rRNA from 1 species